rnacentral:rRNA from 1 species
GACGAACGCUGGCGGCGUGCUUAACACAUGCAAGUCGAGCGGAGUGGCGAACGGGUGAGUAACGCGUGAGUAACUGCCCCCCUCUCUGGGAUAACAGUUGGAAACGGAUGCUAAUACAGGAUAGUGGGGGAUGACGCGCGUCCUAUCAGCUUGUUGGUGGGGUAUUGGCCUACCAAGGAGACGACGGGUAGCCGGCCUGAGAGGGCGACCGGCCACAUUGGGCUGAGAUACGGCACAAACUCCUACGGUAGUCAGCAGUGGGGAAUAGUGCAAGAUGGGGGAAACCCUGAUGCAGCAACGCCGCGUGCGGGAUGACGGCCUUCGGGUUGUAAACCGCUUUCAGCCAGGACGCGGUAGUGGCAGAAGAAGCACCGGCUAACUUCGUGCCAGCAGCCGCGGUAAUUC